rnacentral:rRNA from 1 species
UACGGAGGGUGCAAGCGUUGUCCGGAAUCACUGGGCGUAAAGGGCGCGUAGGCGGCCUGGUAAGUAGGGGGUGAAAUCCUGCGGCUUAACCGCAGGGCUGCCUUCUAAACUGUCAGGCUUGAGCACGGUAGAGGCAGAUGGAAUUCCCGGUGUAGCGGUGGAAUGCGUAGAGAUCGGGAAGAACAUCAGUGGCGAAGGCGGUCUGCUGGGCCGUUGCUGACGCUGAGGAGCGAAAGCGUGGGGAGCGAACAGG